rnacentral:antisense_RNA from 1 species
CUUCAACGACCCCAACCACAGUGGCCGCUCCGGAUCCCGAUCCUGACCGUACGUGGCCAACAACGCCUGCGCCUC